UGGCUAUGAGGAUAAAUUGUAAACUGAAUUAUGGUGAUUGUUUUAUACGCUAUUCUGAGCCAACC
rnacentral:snoRNA from 1 species